rnacentral:tRNA from 1 species
GCCGGGAUGGUGGAAUUGGUAGACGCAGCGGACUCAAAAUCCGCCAAUGGCAACCUCUUGCGAGUUCAAGUCUCGCUCCCGGUACCA